GCCAAGAGGACAGGGAGAGCCCCCAAACCUGAACCUCUGGACCUGGGGUGCAGCUUCAGCAUGGAGCUCCCAUGGGUGUCCCACCUAAACCGCAUAGGGGCCACACAGGGUCCUCUGCCCACACUCCUUCUCUCCAGAGAAGCACCAUUAGGACCCUUACCCACCCAUAGGGUCAUGCACCUCUGCCCUCACCCAGAUGGGCACGAGCCACCAUCAGGUCCCUGGGGCCAGGAGAGCCACGGUGCAACAGGGGAGCCACGGGCAGGGGAGUAUCUCAAGUACCAGGUACCCACUGUGCACUGCCCCAUCUCCUGCCUAUCCCCUUUGACUCCUGCUUUUCCCAUCACUGCUGCUGGUGAUGGGCCAUGCACCUCACACCUCCAGGAAGGGGAUUUUUGGGCAGUGCCAUCAGCGCUCAGGUAAAGCUGCAGCUGCAUUUGGCACAUCCGCGCUGCAAAGGUGCUGCCCUCCAUCCCCUGGGAAACCACCCUGCACCCCCUGGGAAACACUUCCUUGUUUGUCCUCCGUCACGGUGAGGUGGUACCUGUGUGUCUUCCAGGGUAUCCCUGGAGGAGGGGACAUGUCUCACAGGCAGCACUGUGGCCCCUCAGACCCCACACUCCAGCCUGGGAAGGCUCUGGCUUUGCUGUUGUUGUUUUGAAGGCCAAGUCUCUCCCGCUGACACCCUGGUUAGUUUUUCUUCCAGAGUCCUUAAAAAUAUCCUGGAUUCCUGACACCGGGACUUGUCUUCCAAUGGUGCUUCCAAGCCACCGGGCCUGGGGCCAGCUGUGAGCGCCGAGGGACAGAGGCCGUCCAGCUCUCGUGCUCCUCCGAGAUCACAGCGGUGCUGGGAAGGAGUAUGGUGCUGAGGAAGAUCACAGCCCCUGCCAUGGCUGAGUUGUUACUUGCCACUUCCACGGUGGAAUGGUGCUCAGCAGGGCACAGGCAGGGCACAAACACUGCCUUGCCUCAGCAAUGCUCCCAGUGGCUUCGGCGCGUGUUCCUGUGCACAGCCAGGAGCGUGGGAAGGGUCUUUCAGGGACCUCCAGCAGCCGUGACCCUACAGAACCCCACAGCUGAGGACUGGGCUGUGGCGAGGGUCCCAAGCCCGCGGCCCGGCCCAGCGUGGGUUUCCAUGGAAAACUUCCAUCCAAAACAAGGAGAGAAGGAGCUACAGCAGGAGUGACUCAGCCACAACUGGAAGCUUCUGCGGGUGAAGCAGGGAAGGGGGGGCUGUUCCCAGCGGCUUGGUCCUGCUCCGGCAGCAGGGCCUGGGGCUGGCCCCUGGCUCUCCCCUGCCCGUGCUGCUGCCUCCUCACAGGCAGGAGCCAGGCAGCUUUGGGGGAAACCGCGUGAUAUGACAGUCUGCAAAACACAUCACCCUCCCAAAGCGCCCCCUCCCCACGCCAGCGCCAGGCCCGGCUGGUGGAGAUGGGAGGAAGAGCGUGAGAUGAGUAAGGCUCAAACCCUGCCACGAUCCGCAGCCGGUGCCAGGCUUGGUGGGACGUCUCUUUCUCCAACGCUGCCCACAGGAGCCCCUGCCUGUGCCUGGUGUGCCCCACGUGGGUGAUGGCAGGGUGGGCAGCAGAGGAGACUCCGAGCUGACGGUGACACAGGGGGAAGGGGUGCGGAGAGCCAGGGAAGAGGUGGUGGGAGUUUGUGGGGAGGCAGCAGUGCUGGCAGAGUCUCUGCUUGUGCUGGUCUUCUCCCACCCUCCCUGGGAUGCUGGGAGAGGGCUGGGGGCUCUGCUCACCUGGGAGGGAGGAGCAAAGCCCUUCCCUGCCCAGCCCCAGCCCCCGUGGCCACUGCACGCUCCUCACAAGCAGGGCCAUAGGCAGGGCCUAUCCCUGGGGUCACCCAGGUGAUUCUGAUGGCUGUGUUGGGGUAUGGAAAGGGCCACCUAGGGAGAAGAGGGAUGACACUCCCUCUGCCAAAACAUCCAGGCUCACGGUGCUGCUGGGUAACACCAGUGGCUAUCCCCAGGGCCCCCUUGUCCCAAGCCAGUGGCAUGGCUGCCACCCAGAGCCUGGGCUCGCUCCGUUACCCCCUCAUGCAGCAACAGCAACUGCUCCAGACUGUUCUGGGGGAAAAACCGACUCCCCUGGGCGGGUGGGAGAAGAGGAAACCCCUCCAACAGCAAAGUGAAUGAGGGAUGGGUGGGCAUCAGUCAGUCUUGUCUCCAGGCAGCUGAGCGGUGUGGCUGCAUCCCAAGGACAGACUUGGAUCUGCAAGAGAGGCAGAGGCCAGCCCGAGGGCAUCUCGCCAGUAGAAAAGAAGGGAGAGGGAAGGAUUCCCAGGGCAAACCCCUCCGACCGGCAGGGACACGCAGUGACAGCCGCGGGAGCCGCUUCCCUCCUCCCAUCACACCAGGGCCCAGCAGGACCUCCCUCCGCUGCUCACACAGGCACCUCUCGCGGACGAGGGUCGCGUUUCUCUCUUUUUAUUAGUUUAUUUUAACCCGGUACAGGAGCCAACCGGCAGAAGCCAUCUUUAAGCAGACCCUGGGAAGAGAGAGGCAGGUACUGCAGCACCCCAGCUCGGGUCACCCCUCCCUCCCCAGCCCACCCGAGGGAGCCGCCCGCAGAGCCGGCACCGCGCUGCUCACUCACCGCACCACGAGCUCCUUCCCCAUCCCGCCGCCAGCGAGCUGCCAAGUUCCUCCCUGUGCCCGGGAGCUGCCGGGGGUCGGCGGUGCGGGGCCGCAGUGCGGGCGGGCGGCCAUGGCUGCGGUGCCUCCGCCGCCUCCGCGGGGCCGGAGCUCGGCGGUAAUUAAAGAGCUACCGGUGGGCUUGGCGAGCGCGGCUGCUGCCGUCCCUCCACGGCUGCUCAGGGCUGAGGGGGCAGAGCAGAGAGACAAAAGCGCCAGUGCUUUGUCGCAGUUGUCGCUGUGUUCGGCCGGAGCUGCUGCUGCUGCAGCCCUCCCCCCAAAACAGCCUCUCCGAUGUGGUCACCAAGGAGUGCAGACACCCCACACCUUAAAACGAGCUGUGAUACAGCCCAGCUGAAGUGGCCAAGCUGGCCACCACUGCCCAAACUCCCCCCACAACACCCCCAGGACACCAGCCUGGGGCUGGGCUGCAGAGAAACUGCCUCAUCCUCCUGACACCACCACCAUUGUGUUGCUGAGUAACCAGCAACAAACCAGAAGGUAAAAACCUCCCAGGGCUGAGAACUACUAAUUUCUGCUGCGUUGGUUUAACCUGUGGCAGCUCCCAGGCCUGUUCCCAGCUGAGGGAACAUGGGAAGGGCUUCAGCCCUUGCCCCUCUGCCUGUUCCUCUUGUCCUCUGGCCCUUGCACGGAUGACACUGCACUGCCCUGCCGCUCAGGCAGGGGGAAAAUGAAGAAUUUACACCUGAUUUCUCUCUUUUGCCAACCAAAAACCCCUAAGGAAAGCUGUGGUUAGAGAAAACCUUGAAGCACGGCCCUGGCUUGACCCUGGUGCCCAGCCUGCCCCAGCACUGUACUGGGCAGCAGCCAAGCAGGGCACCUUCACCUGUAACAGCAAUAAAGGUUCCCAUGUGCUUCUGGAAAAUAUUAUCAAAGCCAGAAA